rnacentral:misc_RNA from 1 species
AAAGUGCGACAAGUGUCAUGACUUGCAGAUACCCGAGAGCUGACAAAUUUCUGAAUGCAAAUUGCAGCCAACUUAUCCUGGCUAUGUAUUGCAGAGAGUACUACGCUUAUGCGCUCCAUCCAGCGUUUUCUUAUCUGAAACACUGGGACAUGCGGUUGCGGUUGCUUCUAAACAUGCAUACACCACUCCUCAGCAGCGGUGUAUGCCCGCGAUCGUGAAAGGAAGGAAACCAUAACGUUUACCUUGGAAACAACAAUGAGAAACAGAAGAGGCCGCAGUGCCUCUCCUUUCAUACUCUUCUUCACCUCUGCAAUGCAGGAGAACCCGCUGAACUUAA